AACCCGGAAUGCUCAUGCAACCACCUUUGUCUUCUCUCGUUUUCUUCGCAAGUCUACACCGCCCCAAAACCAUCCAUCUCUCUCCUCUUCUCUCUCUUGCUGCUUUAAUUUCUAACCAUUAUUAUCCCAUUUCUCUCUUUCUUCUUCUUCUGUCCUCACGAAAACAGAAAAAAAAAACAGUUCUAUAAUGUUCAUCACCUUCUCUGUCCCGCUUCCGCCGGAAACUUGGCAAUAAAGAUAACGGCCGGAAUCUGCUGCAUCACCACCGCCCAUCAUUAGGCCAAAGCCACCUAAAUGGGCCAACUUACCCGUUCAUCCACUCAGCCUUCUCCCCGAGCCGAUCCGGAUCCCGCAGAGGCCAUCUCGGACCUUGUAUGGCCUUUCGGAAAGCUCGAAGGCCUCGACCGGGAUGAUUUUCGUGAAGCUGCUUAUGAGAUAUUCUUCACGGCUUGCCGGUCAUCGCCGGGGUUUGGAGGUAGGAGUGCAAUAACGUAUUAUAAUCCGUCGGACGAGAAAGAUGGAAGCGGGUCUGGGUCAAGUUUUGGACAACCUGGAUCUCCAGUGAAGCCACCGGGGGUGGGGAUGGCAGUAACGAGUAGGGUGAAAAGGACUUUAGGAUUGAAAAUGAUGAGAAAGUCACCAUCAAGGAGGGCUAGCUCUGUUGGGGCAGCACCGUCUUCGCCGAAUGGUGGGGCCGGGUCGAGUCCUCGGAGCGCGUUCUCGUCGUUGCCGUCUAGGCCUCGGCGGCCGAUGACCUCAGCUGAGAUCAUGCGGCAGCAAAUGAGGGUGACGGAGCAGAGUGAUAACAGGCUACGUAAAACUCUCAUGAGGACCCUUGUUGGCCAAUUGAUACAAUUCUUCGAGCAGAUGGGCAGGCGUGCAGAGACGAUUAUUCUUCCAUUGGAGCUUUUACGCCACCUAAAACCAUCCGAAUUUAAUGACCCUCAGGAGUAUCAUUUUUGGCAAAAACGUCAGCUCAAAAUUUUCGAGGUUGGACUUCUUCUUCACCCUUCGAUUCCAUUAGAGAAGUCGAAUGAAUUUGCUAUUCGCCUUCGCGAAAUCAUCCAAGCUUCAGAACACAAAGCAAUAGACACCGGAAAGAAUUCAGAAACCAUGAAAUCACUAGUCAAUUGCGUUGUGUCUUUGUCUUGGAGAACUGCUGAUGGUUCCCCUACUGAUAUUUGCCAUUGGGCUGAUGGAUAUCCCAUUAACGUACACAUUUAUAUUGCUCUUCUGUACUCAAUUUUUGAUAUCAAGGAGGAAACGUUAGUUCUUGAUGAAGUUGACGAGCUUCUUGAGUUGAUGAAGAAGACAUGGUCUACAUUGGGAAUUAAUAGAUCGAUCCAUAACUUGUGUUUUACUUGGGUGUUGUUUGAGCAUUAUAUUAUGACCGGACAAGUUGAGGGAGAUCUUCUUGGUGCAUCACUGACUAUGUUAGCUGAAGUCGCAAAUGAUGCUAAGAAAGUUGAUAGAGAACCUUUGUAUGUCAAGAUGUUGGCAUCAGCCUUGACUUCAUUGAAGAGAUGGGCAGAGAUGAGAUUGCUUGAUUACCAUCAAAAUUUUCAUAAGGGAACAAUUGGACUAAUGGAGAGUAUUGUUCCAUUAGUCUUUUCGGCUGCAAAGAUCUUGGAAGAAGAUGUUCCAGGAUAUCUUGCAGUAGAAUUGGAGAAAGGAGAAAUGGCAAAUAUUUCAUCUGGCAAUCGGGUGGAUUAUUAUGUGAGGUCAUCAUUGAGGAAUGCAUUUGCAAAGAUUCUGAAAGAUAGGAACAUAGAUGGAGCUGUUGUUGAAAUGGAAGAAGCAAGUGAAGUGCUCAUUAAAUUGGCUAAUGAAACUGAACGUUUGGCUGCAAUGGAGAAGGAGAUUUUUAGUCCCGUACUCAAGAAAUGGCACCCUGUCGCAGCUGGGGUUGCAGCGGUAACCCUACAUACUUGCUACGGGACUUUGUUGAAGCAGUAUUUGGUAGCAACUUCUGCACUCACAGAGGAGACAACUACGUUGCUGCACAGAGCUGGGAAGUUGGAAAAGGUUUUGGUUCAGAUGGUGGUUGAAGACUCUGUUGAAUGUGAAGAUGGAGGCAAAGCAAUUGUCAGGGAGAUGGUGCCCUAUGAAGUUGAUUCCAUCAUACUGAACCGCAUGAAACAAUGGAUUCAAGAAAUCCUAAAGAAGGGGAAAGAAUUACUCCUUAGAGCCAAAGAAACUGAAACAUGGAAUCCCAAGUCCAAGACCGAGCCAUAUGCACAUUCUGCUGUAGAGCUAAUGAAGCAUAUCAAGGAUUCUUUGGACAGCUUCCUCCAUACCCCAGUGAACUUAUCUGAGGAUCUGGUCCACACUCUCACUGAUGGAUUGGAGCAUCUCUUCAGAGAUUACAUUACCUUUGUUGCAUCAUGUGGAUCAAAGCAAAGUUAUCUCCCUAUACUUCCCCCUUUAACACGAUGUAGCCAAGAAACAAAGUUUUCUAAACUCUGGAAAAGAGCUGCCUGCAGUGUUGGCAUAGAAGACCCAGGCCAAAAUAUGCUGAAUGAAGGCAACCAUCCGCGGCCUUCAACAAGUCGCGGAACACAACGCUUGUACAUCCGUCUUAACACCUUACAUUUCCUCAAUUCACAGCUCAACUCUCUUGAUAAAACAUUGUCCCUGUCGUCAAAAAUUGUUCCUUCACCACAUAGCCGCAUUAACAACAGGAAUAGACAACUUGGGGAUUCCUCCUCCUACUUUGAUCACGCUCGCUCGGCAAUUCAUGUUGCUACUCAGCAUGUAUGUGAAGUUGCUGCUUACCGUCUAAUCUUCAGGGAUUCGAACUCUGUAUUCUACGGAAGUCUAUAUGUAGGUGAUGUAGCAAAUGCACGUAUUAGGCCAGCUCUGAGAACACUUAAGCAGAACCUUACUCUAUUAUGUGCAAUUGUAACUGAAAGAGCUCAACCACUAGCUCUAAAAGAGGUAAUGAGAGCUUCCUUUGAGGCCUUCCUUAUGGUUUUGCUUGCUGGGGGAAGCUCCAGAAUCUUUUUUCGGUCAGACCAUCAGAUGAUUGAGGAGGAUUUUGAGAACCUGAAGCGGAUGUUUUGUACAUGUGGAGAAGGUCUAAUCGUAGAGGAUGCAGUAAACAUAGAAGCUGAGACAGUGGAUGGUGUAGUGGCAUUAAUGGGCCAAUCUACAGAACAAUUGAUGGAAGAUUUCAGUAUUGUGGCCUGUGAAGCCAGUGGCAUAGGUGUAGUUGGUGCUGGGCAGAAGCUUCCUAUGCCACCAACAACUGGAAGAUGGAAUAGAUCAGAUCCCAAUACAAUUUUGAGGGUACUGUGUCACAGAAAUGAUCGAGCUGCUAAUUACUUCCUAAAAAGGUCAUUCCAAUUAGCAAAGAGAAGAGGAUGAAAAUAAUACCAGUUUACAUGAGAUUCUGCCACUAAGGUUGAUCUUAACUGAGGAGCGUGUGAGGCAGACCUACGCAGCAUUAGCAACUAACUGUGGUUGAGCAUUUCAAAUGGAUAUGUUUUUCUCUUUUGCAUCAUCCACUCUGCAUGGGCCGUAAUUGAUGAGAAAUACACCUGGGAAAUGAAUUAGUUCAAAAAUAGAAGCAAGUCUUUUGGAGAAGAAGCUUCAACUGGUUCCUAUCCGAUUUCGACCAUCAAAUUUAUCAGCACAAGGACAUCAGCAAAACACGCUGGUUUCAUGAUGGAAGAGCUCUUGCAGCUGCUGACUUGCUGAUAUUGACAUGUAUCUUCGGAUGGGAUGUUGACUGCAGGAGUUCAAGUUUUCACAGGAAAUAAUUGUCUAGCAUAAGUUUCUACCCUGGUUGCAAGAAAAGAAUUCAAGAAGAUUAUCAAUUCAGACAAGCCCAUCUUCUCACUUUCAUAUUUGAUGAGUUCAGAGUGAGAAUCCUUGUUUUCCAUAUCAUACAACAAUAGUCGCAGAGCACCAUAUAACAUGGAUAAUUUAGGAGUUCUGCCGCAGUAGCAUAAGUCAAGGCCACAUGAGA